rnacentral:rRNA from 1 species
ACGCUGGCGGCAUGCCUAACACAUGCAAGUCGAACGAAGCCUUCGGGCUUAGUGGCGCACGGGUGCGUAACGCGUGGGAAUCUGCCCUUGGGUUCGGAAUAACAGUUAGAAAUGACUGCUAAUACCGAAUGAUGUCUUCGGACCAAAGAUUUAUCGCCCAAGGAUGAGCCCGCGUCGGAUUAGCUAGUUGGUGAGGUAAAGGCUCACCAAGGCGACGAUCCGUAGCUGGUCUGAGAGGAUGAUCAGCCACACUGGGACUGAGACACGGCCCAGACUCCUACGGGAGGCAGCAGUGGGGAAUAUUGGACAAUGGGCGAAAGCCUGAUCCAGCAAUGCCGCGUGAGUGAUGAAGGCCUUAGGGUUGUAAAGCUCUUUUACCCGGGAUGAUAAUGACAGUACCGGGAGAAUAAGCCCCGGCUAACUACGUG